GUCUAUGGCCAUGCCACCCUGAACAAGCCCAAUCCCAUCUGAUCUCGGAAGCUAAGCAGGGUCGGGCCCGGUUAGUACUUGGAUGGGAGACCACCUAGGAAGACUGCGUGCCGUAGGUG
rfam:Pteropus alecto contig75566, whole genome shotgun sequence.